rnacentral:pre_miRNA from 1 species
AUCAGAAUCACCUAGAGUUCUUGUUAAAACACAGAUUGCUGGGCUCCACCCCUAGAAAUUCUGAUUCAACAGUGUAAUAGUGUGGGGUCUAAAAUUUUGCAUUUCUAGCAAGUUACCAGGUGAUAUUGAU